UUAGCAUAUUAGCUCUCUAUUAUAUAGGAUUCCCGUGGUCAUGUGAAAUCAAAUCCAGGUCUUGUCUACUAACGAAUCCCCUUGCCACCAGCCGCCCAUGCUCCACCUGCACCAUCAUCUCUUGGGGACAAAAAUCUCCCCGAAGGCCUGCGCCCUGAGCCGAGCGACUCGAACCGAGGAAGUGAGAUGCCUGUCGCACUGGCUUUGAACGAGCUUCUUGACUUCCUGCAAAGAGGCCGCGGGGCCGCGCUUUUGGAGAAGUUAGUGAAACCGAAUCUGACAUCACCACCCACCGCCCCUGGAGACCAGCGAGUGGCUCGUUCUCAGGGCGGCAGAGGAGGAAAUCGCUGGGGUCUGAGAAGACAUCCGCGAGGGAGGGACGCAUGCUGGGCCACAGGCCGAUCUCCUGAUAAUGACCAUGGAUUUGUGGCUGAAGCUGCUGGCUUUGGCCUGUGUCUGUCUGGACGCCGGGGUCGUCGGGCAAGGUAAGGACCUGGGACUCUGACGACUUCCUCUCCGAGCGUUUGCUUGAGGGGGGACAUCGCUCUGAGACACGGACAUAGGAACAAGUGAAGGGGUAGUGACCGGAAGGGAGGGAGUGGGAUGGGCAGAGCUGUCCGAGCUCAGACAGACCCUGGCUCGCGCUGAGACCCAAGCCAUGGUUUCUGCUGAAAAAAAUGCCUACCUAUUUAAGGGACAAAAAAUUAAAAUUUAAAAAAAAAAAUCACAAGUUAAAAGGAUGAGUCUUCGCUCACAGACUGUGCCAGGGGAUUACCAAAGCCAUUGUUACUCCGCCCUCGCACGGGCCUGGGUGUCCGUGUAUGAAAUCCAAGGACACGUUAAGGACCCACAUAAGUGAAUUUUUAUCCCCUUAACAAGAAAUGCAUUUUUUUUUAAAAGUCAUGCUAUGCCUUCGCUUGCACGUAGCCACCCCCACUUUCCGGACCAGCAGGCCACUUCCUCAAAUGCUGCUGAGUAGCAAUGGGCUCCGUGGCCGCCUUUGUUCCAUGGCCGUGGAAGAGAAUGCCCGUGGCCAUGUGGGAAAAGGUCACCUGUUGGCCUGUUCUUAUCCCAGAAGGUGUCUUAGGUCGAGUUCUUGGUUCCUUACCCGUCCUUACGCGUCACUGUGCGACUCACUCGCUUUGGAGAUUCGUAGGGGGCCACCGCCCUUCCUGGGUGAUGGGUGGGUGUGAGGACCUCGGCAGUGGCGAGAUAAUAACACGACCCCCCAACAAUGAAGCCCACGCGAGGCUCCUGAGGGAAAAGUGACUCAUGGGACGUCGGGGACCUUUUGACGUUUGAGAAUCUCUGUAGGCUGCUCGGUCGGUG